rnacentral:rRNA from 1 species
UAGCGGUGAAAUGCGUUGAUCCCUGGGGGACCACCUGUGGCGAAGGCGCCCGGCUGGAACGGGUCCGACGGUGAGGGACGAAGGCCGGGGGAGCAAACCGGAUUAGAUACCCGGGUAGUCCCGGCUGUAAACUCUGCGGACUAGGUGUCGCGUCGGCUUCGGGCCGGCGCGGUGCCGAAGGGAAGCCGUUAAGUCCGCCGCCUGGGGAGUACGGUCGCAAGACUGAAACUUAAAGGAAUUGGCGGGGGAGCACUACAACGGGUGGAGCCUGCGGUUUAAUUGGAUUCAACGCCGGGCAUCUUACCAGGGGCGACGGCAGGAUGAAGGCCAGGUUGACGACCUUGCCAGACGCGCCGAGAGGUGGUGCAUGGCCGUCGUCAGCUCGUACCGUGAGGCGUCCUGUUAAGUCAGGUAACGAGCGAGACCCGUGCCCCAUGUUGCCAUCCCCUCCUCCGGGAGGGGGGCACUCAUGGGGGACCGCCGGCGAAAAGCCGGAGGAAGGUGCGGGCAACGACAGGUCCGCAUGCCCCGAAUCCCCUGGGCUACACGCGGGCUACAAUGGCCGGGACAAUGGGAUGCGACCCCGAAAGGGGGAGCAAAUCCCCUAAACCCGGUCGUAGUCCGGAUCGAGGGCUGUAACUCGCCCUCGUGAAGCCGGAAUCCGUAGUAAUCGCGCCUCA